rnacentral:rRNA from 1 species
AUGGUGGCGUUAGAUGGCAACACUGCGACGGCCAACCCGGAGGUAGAAGGCGGCGCUGCGGCAGCCAUGGUGGAGCAUUGGAGCUGGACCGAAGCGUUGCGGCCAGAUCUACACGGCUGCAUCAUUGUCGCGGCUGUGAAAAGUGGAUACUUUGGUAUUUCAGACCACGUACGAGAAUCUCCGUCAGGUGGUAGGCCUAACUUCUAUGAUCAAGGAUGUCUGAGUAACUUUCUAGAAGUCUUCUGCACCAAGGUACAGGCUUCCAAGCACAAGUUCCAGACAUACAUACAAGAGGAAGUGAGAGCUCCACUAGCCAACCGUGUCGGGGAGGUAGAAGAUGAACCAGCUGGUGCUCGCCAUGCAAAAGUGGAAGAUGACCGGAUACUGGUGUUGAUCUUA